UCCCGUGUGGUCUAGUGGCUAGGAUCCGGCGCUCACACCGCUGUGGCCGGGGUUCGAUUCCCCGCACGGGAG
rnacentral:tRNA from 1 species